GCCGAGAUAGCUCAGUCCGGUAGGGCGCCGGUCUUGAAAACCGGUGGUGAAAACCUCGGGAGUUCAAAUCUCUCUCUCGGCG
rnacentral:tRNA from 1 species